rnacentral:rRNA from 1 species
AUUGAACGCUGGCGGCAUGCUUUACACAUGCAAGUCGAACGGUAACAGGCGCAAGGUGCUGACGAGUGGCGAACGGGUGAGUAAUGCAUCGGAACGUGCCCAGUCGUGGGGGAUAACUACUCGAAAGAGUAGCUAAUACCGCAUACGAUCUAUGGAUGAAAGCGGGGGACCGUAAGGCCUCGCGCGAUUGGAGCGGCCGAUGUCAGAUUAGGUAGUUGGUGGGGUAAAGGCUCACCAAGCCAACGAUCUGUAGCUGGUCUGAGAGGACGACCAGCCACACUGGGACUGAGACACGGCCCAGACUCCUACGGGAGGCAGCAGUGGGGAAUUUUGGACAAUGGGCGCAAGCCUGAUCCAGCAAUGCCGCGUGCAGGAAGAAGGCCUUCGGGUUGUAAACUGCUUUUGUACGGAACGAAACGGCUCUGGUUAAUACCCGGGGCUAAUGACGGUACCGUAAGAAUAAGCACCGGCUAACUACGUG